GCAUGUUCUGUUCGUCAGCGUCGUGUGUCGGUGAGGAUGAUUGGUUUAAGUUCACCGGCAACGAAGCGCAACACCUGUUGUCUCUAGUUACUNACAGUUCAGCCUGAGCAACUUUUAGAGAGACUGCCNGGUUGAUCAAACACGGAGGAAGGUGGUGGUACGACGUCAAGUCAUCAUGGCCCUUAUGGGUCAGGGUCUACACACGGUGCUACAAUGGCCGGUACAGAAGGUUGCCAACCCGCGAGGGGGAGCUAAUCCUGUAAAGCCGGUCGUAGUCCGGAUCUGCAGUCAUGCAACAUCAGACUGCGUGUAAGUCGGAUAUCAGCUAGUAAUCAGCGAAUCAGCAUGUCACGGUGAUAUACGUUCCCGGGCCUUGUACACACACAGCCCGUCACACCAUGGGUAGUGGGCAUGCACCAGAAGUAGGUGUGCUUAACCCGUAUAGGGAGGGCGCUUACCACGGUGUGUCGAUGGACUGGGUGAAGUCGUACAAUUNGUUACCCCUGACGGGCAACCUGUGGCUGGAUCACCUUUC
rnacentral:rRNA from 1 species